rnacentral:rRNA from 1 species
UACGUAGGGUGCAAGCGUUGCUCGGAAUUAUUGGGCGUAAAGGGCGCGUAGGCGGCGCGGUAUGUCACCUGUGAAAUCUCCUGGCUCAACUGGGAGCUUGCAGGCGAAACUGCCGUGCUGGAGUGUGGGAGAGGUGCGUGGAAUUCCUGGUGUAGCGGUGAAAUGCGUAGAUAUCAGGAGGAACACCUGUGGCGAAAGCGGCGCACUGGACCACAACUGACGCUGAGGCGCGAAAGCUAGGGGAGCAAACAGG